rnacentral:rRNA from 1 species
AUUGAACGCUGGCGGCAGGCCUAACACAUGCAAGUCGAACGGUAACAGGAAGCAGCUUGCUGCUUCGCUGACGAGUGGCGGACGGGUGAGUAAUGUCUGGGAAACUGCCUGAUGGAGGGGGAUAACUACUGGAAACGGUAGCUAAUACCGCAUAACGUCGCAAGACCAAAGAGGGGGACCUUAGGGCCUCUUGCCAUCGGAUGUGCCCAGAUGGGAUUAGCUAGUAGGUGGGGUAACGGCUCACCUAGGCGACGAUCCCUAGCUGGUGUGAGAGGAUGACCAGCCACACUGGAACUGAGACACGGUCCAGACUCCUACGGGAGGCAGCAGUGGGGAAUAUUGCACAAUGGGCGCAAGCCUGAUGCAGCCAUGCCGCGUGUAUGAAGAAGGCCUUCGGGUUGUAAAGUACUUUCAGCGGGGAGGAAGGGAGUAAAGUUAAUACCUUUGCACAUUGACGUUACCCGCAGAAGAAGCACCGGCUAACUCCGUG